GAUGAACGCUGGCGGCGCGCCUAACACAUGCAAGUCGAACGAUUAAAGCACCUUCGGGUGUGUAUAAAGUGGCGAACGGCUGAGUAACACGUGGGCAACCUGCCCCUCUCAUUGGGAUAGCCACGGGAAACCGUGGAUAAUACCGAAUACUUCGGGACUUCCGCAUGGAAGACUCGAGAAAGCUCCGGCGGUGAGGGAUGGGCCCGCGGCCUGUUAGCUUGUUGGUGGGGUAAUGGCCUACCAAGGCAAUGAUGGGUAGCUGGGUUGAGAGACCGACCAGCCAGAUUGGGACUGAGACACGGCCCAGACUCCUACGGGAGGCAGCAGUGGGGAAUCUUGCACAAUGGGCGAAAGCCUGAUGCAGCGACGCCGCGUGCGGGAUGAAGGCCUUCGGGUUGUAAACCGCUUUCAGCAGGGACGAGGCGAAAGUGACGGUACCUGCAGAAGAAGCCCCGGCUAACUACGUG
rnacentral:rRNA from 1 species